rnacentral:lncRNA from 1 species
AUGGGUGAUACAAACAAAGUUCUAGUGCCUUGAGCAUGGGCUUUGACUACAACAAAUGACUCGGGAUAAAUAAAAAUUCUCAAUCUCAAGACCAAUAUCUAUAGCACCAACAAAUAUCGAGUGUAACAUAAAUGACAUUGCACUCCAAAGAGAACACAAGUUCAAACUUGGAGACAACAUUCUUGAGAGGGGCACUCACAAAUCCCCAAAAGGAUUAGUUUUCAUGGACCAUAGAAUGAACAUGGAAGAUACCU